rnacentral:rRNA from 1 species
GAAACACGGAUCAAGGAGUCUAACAGGUGCGCGAGUCCGCGGGUCGUCUAAACCCUUACGGGCGGAGCAAAAGCAAAGUGAAACGCCGCACGCUCGUCGUGCGGCGAGAGAGCCGAUCCGGUUCGAACCGGCGCAGGCUCGGGGUCCGUCGUCGACGGGUGGCGCUCGUCGCCUCCCCGUCUGGCGGGCACCCGGAGCGUGCACGUUAGUACCCGAAAGAUGGUGAUCUAUGCUUGGCAAGAGCGAAGCCAGAGGAAACUCUGGUGGAGGUUCGUAGCGAUUCUGACGUGCAAAUCGAUCGUCAGAGC